GACAGAGGUGCCAAGCGUUAGGCGGAAUCACUGGGCUUAAAGCGUGUGUAGGCGGACUUGUAAGUACCUUGUGAAAUCCCACGGCUCAACCGUGGAACUGCUCGGUAUACUGCUUGUCUUGAGCCACUUAGGGGCUGUCGGAACAAACGGUGGAGCGGUGAAAUGCGUAGAUAUCAGGAGGAACACCGGUGGCGAAGGCGGGUCUCUGGGCCGAUACUGACGCUGAGGAGCGAAAGCGUGGGGAGCAAACAGG
rnacentral:rRNA from 1 species